rnacentral:RNase_P_RNA from 1 species
AGAGUUGGCUGGACAGUCGCUGUGUUGGCNCCGCAAGGCGUCGGCAGGGAGGAAAGUCCGGGCUCCAUAGGGCAGAGUGCCAGGUAACGCCUGGGAGGCGUGAGCCUACGGAAAGUGCAGCAGAGAGCAAACCGCCUAAGCGCGUAAGCGCCGGUAAGGGUGAAAAGGUGCGGUAAGAGCGCACCGCGCAGCUGGUAACAGUCUGUGGCGUGGUAAACCCCACUCGGAGCAAGACCAAAUAGGAAUCCAUUGGUGUGGCCCGCACUGGAUUCGGGUAGGUUGCUUGAGGUUGUCAGUGAUGGCAAUCCCAGAGGAAUGACUGUUCUCGACAGAACCCGGCUUANAGGCCAACUCUUAUU